rnacentral:ncRNA from 1 species
UGGGAAGGACGACCUUCCAUUCAUGACAUCAUCCGCGGGGACGACCCUG